rnacentral:rRNA from 1 species
GUAUAUGGCCAUGCCACCCUGAACAAGCCCGAUGUCUGGUCUUGGAAGCUAAGCAGGGUUGGGCCUUGUUAGUACUUGGAUGAGACUACGUAGGAAGAAUAGGUGCUGUAAGUA